rnacentral:misc_RNA from 1 species
UCCGGUUUGGCACCGGCAGUCUCCCUAGAGUUCCCGGCUUUACCCGCUGGCAACUAAGGACAGGGGUUGCGCUCGUUGCGCCACUUAAGGCAACACCUCACGACACGAGCUGACGACAGCCAUGCAGCACCUGUGUGUAGGCCCCGUAAGGGGAGGAAUCCAUCUCUGGAAACCGUCCUACCAUGUCAAACGCUGGUAAGGUUCUGCGCGUUGCUUCGAAUUAAACCACAUGCUCCACCGCUUGUGCAGGCCCCCGUCAAUUUCUUUGAGUUUCAGCCUUGCGACCGUACUCCCCAGGCGGGGCACUUAAUGCGUUAGCUGCGGCACGGAACCCGUGGAAUGGACCCCACACCUAGCGCCCAACGUUUACGGCGUGGACUAC